AACGAACGCUGGCGGCAUGCCUAACACAUGCAAGUCGAACGAGACCUUCGGGUCUAGUGGCGCACGGGUGCGUAACGCGUGGGAACCUGCCCUUAGGUUCGGAAUAACUCCCCGAAAGGGGUGCUAAUACCGGAUAAUGUCUUCGGACCAAAGAUUUAUCGCCUUUGGAUGGGCCCGCGUUGGAUUAGCUAGUUGGUAGGGUAAAAGCCUACCAAGGCGACGAUCCAUAGCUGGUCUGAGAGGAUGAUCAGCCACACUGGGACUGAGACACGGCCCAGACUCCUACGGGAGGCAGCAGUGGGGAAUAUUGGCCAAUGGGCGAAGGCCUGAUCCAGCAAUGCCGCGUGAGUGCUGAAGGCCUUAGGGUUGUAAAGCUCUUUUACCCGGGAUGAUAAUGACAGUACCGGGAGAAUAAGCUCCGGCUAACUCCGUG
rnacentral:rRNA from 1 species